rnacentral:lncRNA from 1 species
CACCGUUUUCGGCAGGAGAGCAAUUCCCCUCACACCAAAUUUAUCAUGCCUGCACUUGUUGUAACUGAAGAAACAAUGGCCUCCGAGGUAUCCAAAAGAAAAAUGAAGAAGACACCCAAAACUGAUCUUGAAACUCCUACUGAUAAGAAAACCAAAGAGAAAAAGUCAAAAAAAUCCAAGAUUGAUUCUGGGUCUGAUUCAGAGGACGCAAAAAGGAGUAAAAAGAAAGAGAAAAAGCGAAAAGCUUUGGACUUGGAUGGUGAGAAGAGUGAUACGAGCUCAGAGAUAUGCGAGCCGGUAGAUUUGAAGAAGAAUAAAAAGGCUAAAUUGGACGAGGAAGAAGUGAUGGUUGAGAAGAAAGUGGAGGAUCCUAAUGCUUUGUCUAAUUUUAGGAUUUCAAAGCCUUUAAAAGAGGCUUUGAAUUCUAAGGGAAUAGAAGCACUUUUUCCUAUUCAAGCUAUGACUUUUGAUGAUAUUCUUGAUGGAUGUGAUUUGGUUGGUCGAGCUCGUACUGGUCAGGUAUGAAUUCAGCUCUUGAUUCUAUCAUGCAUAUUUAUUAUUUACUUGCCGUGCUUUAGUUAUGUAAAUAUUGGAUGAGUUUUAAUGGAGUAACCAGUUUGUAUAGGACUAACACUUUGUUUGGAUAAUUAUUACAAAUUGUUUCAUAAUGGAUUGCAUUAUAUUGUAUUAGGUUGUAUUGUAAUGUAUUGAUCCAUUAUAUUGGAUACACAUAUUUCUUACCACGAUGUCCAUUAGGAAGAGACCCUAAAUUGUUUGUAAGGUUCUUUGGUCUCUUGCUGCUAGAGAUGCACAGGUUUCCUUUGAUGAGAAGCUUACUUUUGGAUUGUGAUAAAGGUUCUUUGAUUUCUUUAUUGUCAUAUAUACAGAUUACCCUUUUGAAGUAAGGUUUAUAUAUGAAUUAUGAGCUGCAUGUUUCCUAUUAUAAAUUAUUCAUUCAUCAAGAGUUUAAGCUAAAUGGCAAUAGUGAAAUUUAGUCCUCAUGUUAUGAAUGUUAAUGGUAAAUUGAUUUUCCUAUUCCUUUUGCCGCUGCUAGAAAUUUCAUGAUAAUGAUUCCGACUAUUUUUGGUUAACUAGAUUGUAAAGCAGAGAUAUGACUUGACUUUAAUUUGUGCUUCUGUAUUUGCAGGGUAAAACGUUGGCCUUUGUUUUGCCCAUUUUGGAGUCCCUAACAAAUGGUCCUACUAAAGCAUUGCGUAAAACAGGAUAUGGGAAGGCUCCUAGUGUUCUGGUGCUUUUACCUACUAGGGAAUUAGCACUUCAGGUAUAUAUUAUCAGCCUUCUCUGUUAACCAAUGGGUUGCAUUUCUUGUAAGUAGCAUCUUGUUAAUUUGUUAAUUGCAGGUGUUUGCUGACUUUGAAGUUUAUGGCCGGGCUGUUGGGCUCACUUCGUGCUGUCUGUAUGGAAAUUCUCCUAUGGGGGCACAACAGGCUCAACUAAAAAGAGGAGUUGACAUUGUAGUGGGUACUCCUGGAAGGGUUAAGGUAGGGUUUGCUGAUAUACAAGUUGAAUUUCAUUCACUUUUAUGGAGGGAAAAUUGACUGCUUCAAAAUUCUGCUGCAGGACCACAUUGAAAGGGGAAAUAUUGAUUUCGGGUCUUUAAAGUUCCGUGUUCUUGAUGAAGUCGAUGAAAUGUUAAAAAUUGGUUUUGUAGAUGAUGUCGAAUUUAUUUUAGGUAUGCAUGAGUCAGAAAUCUCUUCCUACAGAAGUUGUGGUUUCUUACUCCUCCAUAUCUAUACUAUGCUGUUACAGAUGUUAGGAUAAAAUUCUUUGACAGCUGAAAUUUGCCAGUGCAUCACUGUUCUGUUGCGGGAUUUUCUAUUUUAUGGUUAUUGACACGUUUAUGCUUUUCUGUUUGUUUUAUUCCUUUGUGAUUCAAAGGCAAGGUCGAAGAUGCAAGCCUAGUUCAAACCGUUCUUUUCAGUGCCACUUUGCCAGUCUGGGUGAAGCAUGUAUGUUAGUUGUACCUUUUGUUUUUGAAUUCAUAAUAUAGUAUCCUGUAUCAUCAGUUCAAUUGUUCUCUGCCUAAGGCUUGGUAAACAAACCACCUUGAAGUUGGAAAUUAGAGGGUGGGCGGGGAUGUACAACUGCUGUGCUCUUAGCUUGCACUUCUUUCUCUCUUACUGAAACAUGUUUUUGGUGCCAGAUUGCUUCUAAGUUUCUGAAACCAGAUAAGAAAACGGCUGACCUUGUUGGUAAUGAGAAAAUGAAGGCCAGUAAAAAUGUGAGGCAUAUUAUUAUUCCAUGCUCUAGUACUGCAAGACCUCAG